AGCCUCCUUUAAUGCCUUUGAAAAGAUCCAUUCUCCUGAGUCAUCUAAGAGGACUGAGAACAGUAUGAGCUUUGAGCUGAACAGAAGACUCCUUCCUCGGACUGCUGUGACUUUGAAGUAAUCUCUCUGAAUGAGCACUUUUGGAAGAAUUGCUGCUCACAGGCCAAGCCCCAGGUUGCCGAAGAGGAUUUGCAAAGGGCAGAAUCAUACCGUGCUAUAAAACACUGUACCACUUACAAGAAUGGGAAGAAAUACAGCAGCCCUCACUGUUAGGAUCUUGGGGUAAAUGUAAAAGCAGCUUAGCCACAAACAUUCUUCAGACUUCUCCUCAUUCCUGAGUUUGAACAAACCUGAAUGGAAAAGAAACUGCCUCUCUUUUCAACAAACUGAUUCCAAGUGCCCCCUGGGAGGAAGGACAAGGAAAAGAGUC